rnacentral:rRNA from 1 species
GACGAACGCUGGCGGCGUGCUUAGCACAUGCAAGUCGAACGGAAAGGCCCUGCUUUUGUGGGGUGCUCGAGUGGCGAACGGGUGAGUAACACGUGAGUAACCUGCCCUUGACUUUGGGAUAACUUCAGGAAACUGGGGCUAAUACCGGAUAGGAGCUCCUGCUGCAUGGUGGGGGUUGGAAAGUUUCGGCGGUUGGGGAUGGACUCGCGGCUUAUCAGCUUGUUGGUGGGGUAGUGGCUUACCAAGGCUUUGACGGGUAGCCGGCCUGAGAGGGUGACCGGCCACAUUGGGACUGAGAUACGGCCCAGACUCCUACGGGAGGCAGCAGUGGGGAAUAUUGCACACUGGGCGGAAGCCUGAUGCAGCAACGCCGCGUGCGGGAUGACGGCCUUCGGGUUGUAAACCGCUUUCGCCUGUGACGAAGCGUGAGUGACGGUAAUGGGUAAAGAAGCACCGGCUAACUACGUG